GGUGUAGGCGGUCUGUUAAGUCUGAUGUGAAAGCCCGGGGCUCACCCCCGGAAGUGCAUUGGAUACUGGCGGACUCGAGUCUCGGAGAGGAGGGUGGAAUUCCUGGUGUAGCGGUGAAAUGCGUAGAUAUCAGGAGGAACACCGGUCGCGAAGGCGGCCCUCUGGACGAUGACUGACGCUGAGACGCGAAAGCGUGGGGAGCAAACA
rnacentral:rRNA from 1 species